rnacentral:rRNA from 1 species
UACGUAGGGUGCGAGCGUUGUCCGGGAAUUAUUAGGGGCGUGAAAGAGCUCGUAGGCGGCCUGUCGCGUCGGAUGUGAAAGCCCGGGGCUCAACCCCGGGUCUGCAUUCGAUACGGGCAGGCUGGAGUGUGGUAGGGGAGAUCGGAAUUCCUGGUGUAGCGGUGAAAUGCGCAGAUAUCAGGAAGAACACCCGUGGCGAAAGCGGCUCUCUGGGACGGUACUGACGCUGAGACGCGAAAGCGUGGGGAGCAAACAGG